rnacentral:tRNA from 1 species
GCUCGGGUGGCGGAAUUGGUAGACGCGUACGUUUGAGGGGCGUAUGGGUAACCGUGCGGGUUCGAGUCCCGCUCCGAGCA